UACGUAGGGUGCAGGCGUUAAUCGGAAUUACUGGGCGUAAAGCGUGCGCAGGCGGUCUUUUAAGUCAGAUGUGAAAUCCCCCGGGCUUAACCUGGGAACUGCGUUUGAAACUGGAAGGCUAGAGUGUGGCAGAGGGGGGGUGGAAUUCCACGUGUAGCAGUGAAAUGCGUAGAUAUGUGGAGGAACACCGAUGGCGAAGGCAGCCCCCUGGGCUAACACUGACGCUCAUGCACGAAAGCGUGGGGAGCGAACAGG
rnacentral:rRNA from 1 species